rnacentral:rRNA from 1 species
GGCCUGGCUGCUCGGUCCGCCUAACCGCGUGCACUGAUGCGGCCGGGCCUUUCCUUCUGGCUAACCUCAUGUCCUUCACUGGGUGUGCAGGGGAUCCAGGACUUUUACUUUGAAAAAAUUAGAGUGUUUAAAGCAGGCUCGCGCUUGAAUACAUUAGCAUGGAAUAAUGAAAUAGGACGU